rnacentral:snRNA from 1 species
GUGCUUACUUCGGCAGCACAUAUACUAAAAUUGUAACGAUACAGAGAAGAUUAGCGCAAGGAUGACACGCAAAUUCGCGAAGUGUUCCAUAUUUUC